rnacentral:misc_RNA from 1 species
AAGGACGAAAAGCGGAGGCCGCAAUGGCCAACUGUCGAUACACAGCGCUUUCGUUUCGUUCGGUUUUGAGGGAAUGAGAAAUUCCUUCAAAAGCGCCUGUGCCUGCGUCUGCUAGCAGGUUCAGGGAAGCAAGAUUCCUCGGCACAAAGCUGCAAGGAGGAUUGCUCAAAGAAGCCGCUUUGCGUCUUCUAGCAGGUUCAAGGAAGAUGGAUUCCUCGGCGCAAAGCUGCAAAGAAGCAGACUCAAGGCAGCAGCUUCGUUCCUUGAAAACUAGAUAACCGGAAAAGCGGAGGCGAGCGUUUCGCCGCGAUGGGCAAAUGUUCUUCGCCUGCAAGGGUGCUUGCACCCGGAAGGCGAAGGUUAUUUGACCCCGAGCGGCGGCGAGCCGAAGCUAGACAGUAAGGAAGAAGCCGAGAGCGCUGUA